rnacentral:misc_RNA from 1 species
AGUAUUUCUAUUAUUUAGGAAUUCUAGUAUUAUUUAGGAAUAUUUCAAGAGUUUUAUCAGGUUUACUAUUUUCCUAAUUAGUGUUAGUUUUAUAUUCCUAGUUAGUAGUGGUUUAGUAAUUCCUAAUCCUAGUACUAGUAAGACUAGUUAUUAUACUAUAAAUACCUCUGUCAUUUAGGCAUUUUAGUAGAAAGCUUAUUAUGAUUAUUAUUGACA